rnacentral:rRNA from 2 species
UUAGGCUGGAUUUCGGCGGACGGGUGAGUACACGUGGGCACCUGCCUAUAAGACUGGGAUANCUUCGGGAAACCGGAGCUAAUACCGGAUACGUUCUUUUCUCGCAUGAGAGAAGAUGGAAAGACGGUUUACGCUGUCACUUAUAGAUGGGCCCGCGGCGCAUUANCUAGUUGGUGAGGUAAUGGCUCACCAAGGCGACGAUGCGUAGCCGACCUGUGAGGGUGAUCGGCCACACUGGGACUGAGACACGGCCCANACUCCUACGGGAGGCAGCAGUAGGGAAUCUUCCGCAAUGGACGAAAGUCUGACGGAGCAACGCCGCGUGAACGAAGAANGCCUUCGGGUCGUAAAGUUCUGUUGUUAGGGAAGAACAAGUACCAGAGUAACUGCUGGUACCUUGACGGUACCUAACCAGAAAGCCACGGCUAACUACGUGCCAGCAGCCGCGGUAAUACGUAGGUGGCAAGCGUUUCGAUAAUUUUUU